AUUGAACGCUGGCGGCAGGCCUAACACAUGCAAGUCGAGCGAGCGGCGGACGGGUGAGUAAUGUAUGGGGACUUCCCGAUAGAGGGGGAUAACUACUGGAAACGGUGGCUAAUACCGCCUUCUCUCGUUUAACCCAUAUGGGAUUGGCUAGUAGGUGGGGUAAAGGCUCACUUAGGCGACGAUCUCUAGCUGGUCGGAGAGGAUGAUCAGCCACACUGGGACUGAGACACGGCCAAGACUCCUACGGAGGCAGCAGUGGGGAAUAUUGCACAAUGGGCGCAAGCCUGAUGAAGCCAUGCCGCGUGGAUGAAGAAGGCCUUAGGGUUGUAAAGUACUUUCAGCGGGGAGGCGUUACCCGCAGAAGAAGCACCGGCUAACUCCGUGCCAGCAGCCGCGGUAAUAC
rnacentral:rRNA from 1 species